UACGUAGGGUGCAAGCGUUGUCCGGAAUUAUUGGGCGUAAAGAGCUCGUAGGCGGUCUGUCGCGUCGGAUGUGAAAAUCCAGGGCUCAACCCUGGACCUGCAUUCGAUACGGGCAGACUAGAAUUCGGUAGGGGAGACUGGAAUUCCUGGUGUAGCGGUGAAAUGCGCAGAUAUCAGGAGGAACACCGGUGGCGAAAGCGCUCAACUGGCUCAAUACUGACGCUAAAGCGCGAAAGCUAGGGGGGCAAACGGG
rnacentral:rRNA from 1 species